UACGAGAGCCCCGAGCGUUAUCCGGAUUUAUUGGGCGUAAAGGGUCCGUAGGCGGUUUGUCGCAUCUCCUGUUAAAUCUUAAGGCUCAACCUUGAGGCUGCGGGAGAGAUGGACAAACUAGAGGCCGGAAGAGGUAAGCGGAAUUGCUGGUGUAGGGGUUAAAUCCGUUAAUAUCAGCAGGAACACCAAAUGCGAAGGCAGCUUACUAGAACGGUUCUGACGCUGAGGGACGAAAGCGUGGGGAGCGAAUGGG
rnacentral:rRNA from 1 species